rnacentral:lncRNA from 1 species
UUCAACUGCAGCAACAAACAUUCCAUCCAAAAAGACCCGCUCGAAUGCACAUUGAAUAGUAAGUUUUCCAAACGUACAUUGUGAGGAUCAUCUUGAAAGCUUGGAAGUUCUUCCUAGCAUAACGUGUGGCCUAAGUAAUUUUCUAUUUCUCAUAAAGAUUGUAUACCCAACGCAAUCACAAUGUUGAACAAAUGAUCUACAACAUCUUAAUUACAAGGGUAUUGGCUAGACAAUUGGCAUGCACUUUAUACCAUGAUGCUUGUAGUGUUGGGGUAACUUGGGCAUCAAUUACCUUAAUUUCAGUUUCACUUUACUCCCAUAGGUCUCGUUUGGUGGCCAUAUUACAUCAGACUUCAAGACGGCCACCAAACGGGACCAUACUUAUUAUCAAACGAUCACAAGAGAAUUUUAGAGUGUGAAAAGAAGUCAAUGAAGUAGAGAGGAGUGCCUUUUAUUACAAGAAACUCUGUAGGACUAUUUUGUUUCAAACGCAUGGCCUAGGUUGGCUCAUAUUAACAUCAAACUCUUCUCUCUCUCUCUCUCUUUCUCUCUCUAUCUCUCUCUCUCUCUCUCGUACUGUUAUACUGUUCUUAACGUGUAAGUAAUUGGAUCUAUUGAAAUGGGAAAUUAGUUGGUCUUUGAUUUGCCGAUUUGGGCAAUUAGUUUAAUAUGGAUAAUUUACUUGUAGUUUUGGAGAAAACUUGUGUGGUGCUUCGUUUGUCGUUGGAUUUUGUUGAAAGGCACUACAAUUCAUUCAAAAUACACCACGUAGAAAAUCUUCAAUAUCAUUUAUUAUUUUGGGUUAAUCUCAAUUUAUUAUCCUGAAAUUUAUUGAUUUUCAACAUUUAAUACAUGAAGUUUUAUUCAUUCCAGAGUGGACAUAAAGUCAUAAUUUUGAGACACUUUCAUACAUCUGCUAAGUUUGUUGUUAAAUCAGUUGUUAACUGGUAACUUGGUGCUCACGUUGGCAGUGACUAGACGCCAUGUGUCAUAGAGGCCCACAUAAAUAUUUAAAAAAAAUUAAAAAUUUAAAAAAAAAUUGGGUUAUCCCCUACCUCAACCCCCUCCCUCCCUUCUCUCCUCUGCACACCCUUUCCGCACACCCACCCUCAAUUCCCUCUUCCAAAACCCAUCGUCUUCACCGCCCCCUAUUCCCCCUAACCCUCCUUCUUCUCUCCUCUGCGCUCACCCAAAUCUCCCUCCAUAAAACGUGUAGGAUCUAGAACCCUCUUGGACCGGCAAAGAUGAACAGGACCGCGGUGGGCGGUGCCCAGAAUUACACCGCUGCAUUUCCAUGGUGGUCGUUGCUAGGCUGUUAGACAACGCCGAGUUCCUGAACCGCUGGAACAACGACAUUUUUAGCAAAUUUGGGCUAGCUUUGAAGUUUCUGGGUUUUGUCUUCUUAAAACCAAAGUGUGAAGGUUGGAGCUUCAAUCGGAGCUCUUUUAGCGGCAUGGCUAGGUUUUGUAUCAGAGAAAUGUUGGUUAUUUAUUUUAUUUUCUUAAAGAUUCAAAACUUUAUUUAUUAUUAUUUUAAAUAAAAAAUAUGAAGAGUCAUAUUCAUCAGAGAAGUCAUGUCUUUUAUUAAGGGGCAUGUAGAGUUUAAUAAAUAGCGAACUCCUCAAACAGAACAAAGACGUUAACAUAGAUUAAAAUGUCCUCCUUCU